rnacentral:tRNA from 1 species
GCGGAAGUAGCUCAGUGGUAGAGCAUCACCUUGCCAAGGUGAGGGUCGCGAGUUCGAGCCUCGUUUCCCGCU